rnacentral:rRNA from 1 species
UCGAACGCUGGCGGUGUGUCUAAGGCAUGCAAGUCGAACGAACCCUUCGGGGUUAGUGGCGCACGGGUGCGUAACGCGUGGGAAUCUGCCCUUUGCUUCGGAAUAACUCAGGGAAACUUGUGCUAAUACCGGAUGAUGUCUUCGGACCAAAGAUUUAUCGGCAAGGGAUGAGCCCGCGUAGGAUUAGGUAGUUGGUGGGGUAAAGGCCUACCAAGCCGACGAUCCUUAGCUGGUCUGAGAGGAUGAUCAGCCACACUGGGACUGAGACACGGCCCAGACUCCUACGGGAGGCAGCAGUGGGGAAUAUUGGACAAUGGGCGAAAGCCUGAUCCAGCAAUGCCGCGUGAGUGAUGAAGGCCCUCGGGUCGUAAAGCUCUUUUACCAGGGAUGAUAAUGACAGUACCUGGAGAAUAAGCUCCGGCUAACUCCGU